rnacentral:rRNA from 1 species
CGGGCGNGUAACGCGUGAGCAACCUGUCCUUCANAGGGGGACAACGGCUGGAAACGGCCGCUAAUACCGCAUGACAUAUCCGGAUGGCAUCGUCUGGAUAUCAAAGGAGAAAUCCGCUGAAGGGUGGGCUCGCGUCCGAUUAGCUAGUUGGUAGGGUAACAGCCUACCAAGGCGACGAUCGGUAGCCGAACUGAGAGGUUGAUCGGCCGCAUUGGGACUGAGACACGGCCCAGACUCCUACGGGAGGCAGCAUG